rnacentral:rRNA from 1 species
CGUAGGUGGCAAGCGUUGUCCGGAGUUUAUUGGGUUUAAAGGGUGCGUAGGCGGUUCCAUAAGUCAGUGGUGAAAUACGGCAGCUCAACUGUCGAGGUGCCAUUGAUACUGCGGAACUUGAGUACUGAUGAGGUAGGCGGAAUUGACGGUGUAGCGGUGAAAUGCUUAGAUAUCGUCAAGAACACCGAUAGCGAAGGCAGCUUACCAAGCAGUAACUGACGCUGAGGCACGAAAGUGCGGGGAUCAAACAGGAUUAGAUACCCUGGUAGUCCGCACAGUAAACGAUGAUUACUCGAUGUUGGCGAUACACAGCCAGCGUCUUAGCGAAAGCGAUAAGUAAUCCACCUGGGGAGUACGCCCGCAAGGGUG